ACUGAGCCUUCCUUACCCUCGAGGGCUGGACCAGCAGGGGUUUGUGAGUACACAUGCGCAGAGUCCCAUGCUGCAAGCGUUUGCUUGGUUUGCUCCAGGUCUAGCAAGCAAAUCCCUUCAGAAUACACGUAGGUUUCCUACCGGGAUUGUUGUUGUCACGUGAGCCUUGCCUCCUGAACUGCAAGCACUGAAGUUAUUAAAUGGGGAAGGAGGAGAGCAGAGGGGCAGUUUCAGCCCUGCUCAGCAGCCCUGCCUUUGUCUCAGCUUUUCCAGUGAAAUGUGUCUCCAUUGUCUCUAAAUCUUUAAGCGAUAAAACACUCACUGUUUGUUUCCUUCAGAGAGCGGAGAACUGCAGCGAGGGCAGCUACUGAAGCCAGGUGUGGUUAUCAAGACAGCCUCAAUCUUAUAAAUGGCAGGAAGUGUUGUCUCAUCUGAUCUGGUCUUCAGACUGGUGUUACACGAGGGGAGAAAAGCGAGUGCUUUGGAUCAGACCUUAAUCUGCUGACUGGCCUUCAGGAGGAUGCCUUGUAGGAGAAGGACUUGUCCAGCGAACCUCAGGUAACUGGGGCCUUGUAAUGCAGAGAGCACCGCAAACCUUGCUGUGGUGCAAACCCCAAAGACCAUUGUGGUGUUCAGCUCCAUCCUAGAGGACUGCAGCAGCAGAGCUGGCUUAGCUUUGCAGAGGGGUAAGCUUUGUAGACUCAUAUCUUGGUGAGAGCAGGACCCUCCACACCUCCACCACUCUUGGUGGCAUUGUUACAGUGCCUUCUUAGAGGGAUUUACCUGUAACAGAGGCCAGCUCUAGUGGCAAACAGGCAAAUGGGCUUCUCCAGCACUAGUCCCAGUCUGCAGAGCUUUGAUACCGACUGAAUUGUAAGUUUUGCUGUGGUUGGAGCUGGUUUUUCAGGUCCUUUUUAGCUGGAGAAAAGAAGGGUGUGAGGAGACUGCACUGGAAAGAGCAAGUGAAUGCUGACAGUGGUACGCAGACACUCCCCAGGUAGCUGGGCUGACACUUUUCUUACUCCUCUAUGUGCAUCAAUCCAAGGAGCUUACAGAAAAUGAGUCAACAAGUUUUGCUGGAUCUCUUCCGAAGGCCUUUCAGCUUUUCACAGCAGUCUUCUGGAGAAGAGUGCUGGGAGAUUACACAGGAGUCGAGUGGAGUGGAAAGCAUCUAACAGACUCCUUCAAAAAUUGUGAAUGUGAUGUCACUGCCUGGGUUUACAAGUGGCAGUGGAAGAGCAGCGGUAUGCUGUGGCAAGGAGGAUUUGAGCACGUUUGCAGGAAGAAUUUUACACGUUUCCCAGUGUUGCUGCCAGAGAAUCUCGUUUGUUUUGAGGGAUACAGCAAGUAUUGUCUGCAGCCAUGGGAUGUGAAAGGUAAAUAUGUUGCUGGCAAGGCAGCAGAUCUCAUGUAGCUGCAGAAAGGUUGGUUAGUAGACAAGUACUUUUUCUCAGGUGCUUUGUUGUUUUCUAAUGAAUUUGGGUGUCUUGUACUCAUCUGUAACCAGGCAUACUGGUAAGUGGUCCCUAAAUCAGCAUCGGUGCUCAAAUCUGCGAGCUUGCAGGGUGAUGCCAUCACCAGUGGUGAUAGGUGAAGGAUGAAGUAACGUCGUGCUCUCCUAUGCUGCCCCAAGCUAAAUAGCUCCGUCUUCAGAAGAGUAGCCCCACUCUCUGAAUUUCAAAGAAAUCUCUGCUGCUGUGCUGCGGGCAGGGACAUAUUUGCGGGGUAUUAGAACAGCAUCAGGCAUGUGAGGAACCCUAAACAGUUCCUUAGCCCAUGUGCCCCCUCUGUAAGGUGGGGGGGAGGCUGCACAGGUGAGUCAUGCAGAUGCUGAGGUCAUCAGGGCAAUUCUGAUUGCAAGGAACUCCUAUUUGCAGCUCUCCAGAUUUUUUUUCUUUAUUUUUUUUUCUUUAAAAUGAAAAAAGAAAACAAGCCUAUUUUUUUCUCUGCUGAUUUGGUUCUGCAAUUGUCACUGCAGAUCGUAGUGCACUGAGAUGCACCAAGAGGUUUUUCUCUCUGUUUCCUUACAGCGAGCCUAGCAGUGACUUUGGGAGCAGAAGCAUUAGGGUAAAGCUAAAGUGUUGGGGGGCAGGGGGCGAAGAGGACUUUGAUUUAUGUACUGGUAGGGUCUGCUCAGCCUUUGGUCUGCCUCAUUCUCUAAUUUUCUGUCUGUGUUGCAUAUUUUUGUCUCCCCAGGUACUUCUCCCAGCACUUCUUAGCUCGUUUGCGUUUAAUCUUCCCGGUAAGUCUACAGCCCUGGCUGCUCUAAUCUCCGCAGGUCACCGUGCAGCUUACAUGUUUGUUACUCCUUGGCUCUUUGCUGUGAUCAGCAUAUUUGAUCAUGGCUGAAUUUACAUCAAAGAAGCACCUGACAAAGAAGCAGGCCUGAUAAUAGGCUCUGGUUUCUUCUCAGCAACCCAAACAGGUAGAGGCGGACAAGGGAACUCUGGCAGGAUCACAAGGGAGUUCGUGCUCCACUUUCAAUCCAGCGUGCUUUGCUCUCCUGCCUGACAGAGCCCCGAAGACCCCGCUGCUGCUGUAGGCUCCCCAAAAUACAGCUGCCUCUGGAAAAGAGGAAAACAAGGCAGAGGAUUGCCAGCGAACCGAAAAAUCAGUUAUUCGCCCAGCUUUAUGUACCAUAUACCAAGAGCAACUUCGGAGCACCCCGGUGACUGUUUACGUAGUGCAGCUGCUGCUGAGGCCCCCAUUUAGAUGUUGGGGGAAUUAUUACGCUUCUCGGGGUUGCGUGAGAUAGUGAACCAUCAGUAUUAACUCUGCUGGCUGCCGUGCAGGACCUGUGUUUGCAGAAGGCACACGUUAAGCUCUUUGGAGACGGCGGCACGCUAGGAAAAGGCGUCGCGUCAGGAGCUGCGUCGAAGGAGCGGGUCGCAGCUCAGCUUUGUUCCGAAAGAUUGGCGUAGUAAUCAAGAAAAGAUAAAGUCCUCAAUUUCAGGGUUAACCACAGUCAGAAACCACACUUGAAAAUGUGCUUUUCCUAUGGUUGCUCCGGGUGAUAAAUUGUAUAUAACGUGAAGCUAUUUAAACAGAUUGUUUUAACCCUUUUCAGCAGGGCACGUUUUCCUUCUAUAGAAAGAUGUCUGCAGGUGGCACAGGGCGUGCUGGAACCACCAGGCCAGAUUGACUGCUUUUACUGAAGCUGAUGGGGGGGAAAAACACAACCUUAGUUCAGUUCCUGCACAACAGAGACACCCAGUAACCAAAACUGCCAGUCUGACUUGCCUGGUACAGUCUGCGAGUCCUGCUGGAGAGGAAGGAGUUGCACCAAAAGUUUUGUUCCCGCUGUUCAUCAACUUCCGUCUUUCUGCACCUCAGGUGAAGGCCUAGCAUUUAGAGCAGCACAACAAACUCCACAAAACGAGCUCAGGGUGCUAAAUGCUCCUGAGGCUGCAGCUUUACCCCCAUACCGCUGUCCUACCCGGCGCGUACCGGGGUGCGUUUCCAUGCCCAGCUGCAAACGACGAUCGCAUGCAAGCAGCAACCAGGAUGUCUCUGGGCUCACCCUGACCGCAGAGGGACCUUUCUCCUUACUGUUAGUAUUUUUUUUAUCCCUGCCUUUGGAGCACUGACCCUGGCUUAGGUCGAGGCGUGCAGCAGAGUCAGUCAGAGCCAUGCAGACUCACUACCCUCAUGGAGCAGCCCACGGACUGUAGACAGGUCAGUUUUUCCUCCCUAAGGACACGUCAGUUCAGUGAGUCCUGCUCCCCUUGAGCCCUUCUCCUUCCCUGGUCUCUCUCCUUUCACCCCCUGUGCCUCCACGCCCUGCAGGGACCUGUUUUUGAGGCUCCCUCGGGUCUGUGGGUGCCAGCUCCUGCCUGGAGGGAGCAGCUGCCAGGCGGCCGCGCCAGCAGGGAGGUCGCAGCGGGAGCACGGGGUGUGGGAGGGGAGGCAGGAAUAAGGUUCUGGCAGCGAGCUGGGACUUGCUGCCUCUCCGAGCUCAUCCCCAGGGCCACGCCAGAGAGCCGUCCCUCCUGCCUGGCACGUUUCUCUCCCUUUCUCCCCCACCCCUUCGCCCGGGAUUACACAGUCUUGGGGUGGCUCUGCUCUCGGGUGUGGGACUUGAAACUGGUUGAACCAACCCCCAGCGGGUGAUUCACUGGACAUAUUCUGGCCCCUGCUUUGUUCCUGCAGCGUCUGCCA